rnacentral:pre_miRNA from 1 species
AAGGGGUGUAAUCUGAAAACACAGACGACGAGUAAUCAGUUGGAGUCUUGCUAUAUUUACUCAUGUCUCUGUGUUCUCAGGUCACCCCUC